rnacentral:rRNA from 1 species
GACGAACGCUGGCGGCGUGCUUAACACAUGCAAGUCGAACGGAAAGGCCCUGCUUUUGUGGGGUGCUCGAGUGGCGAACGGGUGAGUAACACGUGAGUAACCUGCCCUUGACUUUGGGAUAACUUCAGGAAACUGGGGCUAAUACCGGAUAGGAGCUCCUGCUGCAUGGUGGGGGUUGGAAAGUUUCGGCGGUUGGGGAUGGACUCGCGGCUUAUCAGCUUGUUGGUGGGGUAGUGGCUUACCAAGGGGUUGACGGGUAGCCGGCCUGAGAGGGUGACCGGCCACCCUGGGGCUGAGACACCGCCCAGACCCCUUCGGGGGGCCGCAGUGGGGAAUAUUGCCCAAUGGGCGGAAGCCUGACGCAGCCACCCCGCGUGGGGGAUGACGGCCUUUGGGUUUUAAACCCGUUUCCGCCGGGAAGAAGCGGUAGUGACGGUAAAUGGGGAAAAAGCCCCCGCCAACUUCCUG